rnacentral:lncRNA from 1 species
UUUUUUUCCUUUUUCUUUUUUCCUUUUUUCUUUUUCCUUUUUUCCUUUUUUCCAGUUUCUGUUUCCUGUUUUCUUUUUCUUUUUGUUUCCUUUUUCUUUUUCCUGUUUCUUCUUUUUUUUUCUUUUUUUUCCCUUUUCUGUUUUCUUUUACAUUUAUUUAUAAAAUCAAAGUAGACUCAAAAAGCUUUUGUAAAAUCAAA